AGAGUGGCGUCAAAUUCUCCUGCGUCCUGUGAUAUGCAUGAUACAGACCUAAAUGAAACUGGCAUUCUCUUGGGAAGGAAGAGUGGAGAAUGGGUGCUGGAUUGCAACUAACGGCAUCUACUACACUUUCCAGAUCUGCAUUGUAAGAAAAAUGAGAAGAAUUCCUUCAGGAAGAAGAAAAAUGAUACCAGAUGGAUAUGUGGAUCCACAUAAAGGAACGAAGAGCACAGGAAAUAGUAACUAUACUGGUAAAUAUGUAUUUUCUUACUAUUUAAAACUGUAUAAAAGAUAAUUAUUUCAAUAAA
rnacentral:lncRNA from 1 species